rnacentral:rRNA from 1 species
ACGUAGGGUGCGAGCGUUAAUCGGAAUUACUGGGCGUAAAGCGUGCGCAGGCGGGUGUGUAAGUCAGAUGUGAAAUCCCCGGGCUCAACCUGGGAACUGCAUUUGAGACUGCACUGCUAGAGUGUGGCAGAGGGGGGUGGAAUUCCACGUGUAGCGGUGAAAUGCGUAGAGAUGUGGAGGAACACCGAUGGCGAAGGCAGCUUCCUGGGCUAAUACUGACGCUGAUGCACGAAAGCGUGGGGAGCAAACAG